rnacentral:rRNA from 1 species
GGGGGGGGGGGGGGGGGGGGGUGGGGCGGGCGGGGCGGGCGGGCGGGGCCGGGGUGUGGGGGGCGCUCGGGGGGCGCGCGGGUGAGUCACCCGGGAGUAACCGGCCCUGGUCCUGGGGAUGACCCCGGGGCACGGGGGCUAACACCGGAGCGGCGCGCCCUCUCCCUGGUGGGGGGUGGAUAGGUUCGGCGGUUGGGGCUGGACUGGCGGGUUGUCCGCUUGUUGGUGGGGUAGUGGCUUACCAAGGCUUUGACGGGUAGCCGGCCUGAGAGGGUGACCGGCCACAUUGGGACUGAGAUACGGCCCAGACUCCUACGGGAGGCAGCAGUGGGGAAUAUUGCACAAUGGGCGGAAGCCUGAUGCAGCAACGCCGCGUGCGGGAUGACGGCCUUCGGGUUGUAAACCGCUUUCGCCUGUGACGAAGCGUGAGUGACGGUAAUGGGUAAAGAAGCACCGGCUAACUACGUG